rnacentral:miRNA from 1 species
UACUUUGUGCCAAGUACUGAUC